UCAAAUCUUGUUGGGCAAUUACUUAGAAACACUGCUUACAUCUGUCAUGUUAGAAGUCCUAUUGAGUUUAGCCUACAAUUUCAACAGGUUUCAUGUAAUUAGAUAUAGAGGCAUAGUAUAGAAGUAGGAGAGGAGUUUAUUAUAGAUAAUCAGCUGUGUUAGCUGAAUUAUGGAAAUGUAAUGACUCUAUCUUUGGUGAUUAAUAAA
rnacentral:lncRNA from 1 species